UGAGGCUGAUACAGGAGCUGAUCAAGAAGACAAGGCAGGAACUGCUGAGGCUGAUACAGGAGCCGAUGAAGAAGCCGAGGCAAAAACUGAUGAGGCUGAUGCAGGAGCCGAUGAAAAAGACUGGCAAGGAACUGAUGAGGCUGACGCAGGAGCCGAUGAAGAAGACUGGCAAGGAACUGAUGAGGCUGACGCAGGAGCCGAUGAAGAAGACUGGCAAGGAACUGAUGAGGCUGACGCAGGAGCCGAUGAAGAAGACUGGCCAGGAACUGAUGAGGCUGAUGCAGGAGCCUCCAAUAAAGAAGUCGACGCAGGAGCCUUCAACAAAAGGAGCUGAGUGGUUUCUUCGGCAGACCGCCUUUGUCCUCAACUGCUAAAGAAGGACAAAAAAAAAAAAAAAAAACACAAGAUAGGCAAAAGUCAGUGUCAAAGCAGCAAGAAGACAAUCUCAUCAGCACAGUGUUUUGAUGUUGUGUUUCAUUGAUUAUGCUAUGGUACAUAAACAAUUAAAGACAAUAAUAAAGGGUUAUACACACUGCAAAUUUUAGAUUGUAGAUUUAACUACCUUAGAGUUCAAAUUAACACUCCCUCAGUGUUUAUAUGGGAACCACUAUAAAAGUGUUAAAAUAACACUUUUGAAAGUGUUAAAAAUUUUUACCACUCAGAGAGUGUUAAUUAGCAAACUCUUAUUGUGUAAAAUAUAUGUAAAAUGUAUAUCAAAAUACUGGCAGCAGUAGCCAAAACCAAAGAUGAAAUCAACUGAGAAUAAAACUUUUAAUAAAAUAAUAAUUAUUAAAAAAAUAAACAAAUUACAAAAUAAAAUUUAUUUUUAUUUUCAACAUCUUUAAAACAACUCAUGACAUUAAACAACUCAUCAUGGAGCUUCACUUAUUACUGAGCUUUGGCUUUAAUUCUGUCAUGUGAACAAAAGCUCUUUAUGAAAUUUCUGUUGUUCAUUUGAAGUCACCAUGAUGGAGGACAGAGUCUGCUUUAGUAGGGCUCUUCAACUUCUUGCUAUAAAAUGUUUUAUUUAUUUGGAUGCUAUAAUUAUUAGUGCUAAUCACACUAUUCUUACAUGUAGCAUGAAAAUUCAAAAGAAAAUGUAAGAGUCAGUCUGAAGAGAUUAACUUUGAUAUCAAAGCCAUCUUCUCCUGCUUGUUUUCUAAUUCAGUGUCAUAUUAGUUAUGUGUGUGAAAUAAAUAAAAUACAUAAAUGAAACC
rnacentral:lncRNA from 1 species